rnacentral:rRNA from 1 species
UACGUAGGGGGCAAGCGUUGUCCGGAAUUAUUGGGCGUAAAGAGCGUGUAGGCGGUCCGGUAAGUCAGCUGUGAAAGUCAAGGGCUCAACCCUUGAAAGCCGGUUGAUACUGUCGGGCUAGAGUCCGGAAGAGGCGAGUGGAAUUCCCGGUGUAGCGGUGAAAUGCGCAGAUAUCAGGAGGAACACCGAUGGCGAAGGCAGCUCGCUGGGACGGUACUGACGCUGAGACGCGAAAGCGUGGGGAGCGAACAGG